AUUUGACCAUGUCUUUAUUUGGUUAGAAACCAAAGUAUUAGAAGAAUAUUUAAUUUGCAUUUUAUUUAUCAGUCUUACAGACAAAAAUAUAUAGACUGUAUUAUCAUCAUAUACAACAUAAAAUAUAAUAAUAAAAAUACAGAAAUAAUGCUUUGCCUGGCAACACUUGAACAAUAUUUUUUACUAGUGAAGGUACAGAUUUAGUCUUACAGGAAGAACUUUUUUUGUCCUGGCUUAUCCUCUUAAUCAAAACUGGCAGAACUUAAGGCAGCAUAAGGCAGUCUAGCUGAAGCUAUCAUAGAAUCAUCAAGGUUGAAAAGACCACUACGAUCAUCUAGUCCAACCAUCAAGCCACGGCCACGACUGCUCUAGAUUAUGUCCCUCAGUGUCACACCCACCCUUUUCUUGAACACCUCCAGGGACAGUGACUCUACCGCCUCCCUGAGCAGCCUGUGCCAGUGCAUCACCACUCCUGAGAAGAAAUUUUCCCUAAUAUCCAACUUGAACCUCCCCUGGUGCAAUUUAAGGUCAUCAUCUCUCAUCCUAUCACUGAAACCUGGGAGAAGAGCCCUCAUCUCACCACAACCUCCUUUUAGGCAGCUGUAGAGUGUGAUAAGGUCUUCCCCGAACCUCACCUUCUCCAGAAUGACCAAUCUCAUUUCCCUCAGUUGCUCUCCAUAAGACUUGUGAUCCAGAAACUUCACUGGUUUCGUUGCCAUUCUUUGGAUAUUCUCCAGGACAGCUAUGCCAGAGGGUUUGCUAUUCCAGUUCUAAUGAACGUGGAGCAGAGACAUUUUAAAUGCAGAUUGGUCCUUAUGGUCCAAAGGCUCUCACUGAUAAAACCAGUCUAUGAUGACUAGCAGUCCUGGAGAAAGACCGAGGUUGAAUUUUGACCAGUAAUAAUAUUCUCCAGAAAAGCUCUGUUUUUGUCAAAAGUCCUAAGGUCAAAUCCUAAAUUUAUGAGAUCUCAAACCAUAACUCUACUGAAAGGCAGCAGUUGUGAGAGACCCACUGCCAGGGAGAUCAGGGCUAAAAGUGUCAACAAGAGAGUAAGUAAGCUGGGCGGCUUAACUUUUGCAUUCAUUUUUUGAUUUGGUGAAGCUGCCAUUUAAAUCACAUUAUUUUAUGAGCCUUCAGUAGGUCAUCUAGAUAUUUAGAUCAAUUUCAAAAAGUGAAUAGCUGCAUGGUAUUUCAAUGCUAAAGUCUCAGCAUGUCUAUAAUGUUUUCCUUCGUGCCAUUAUUUCUCACUGACAGGUACGGGGAGGUUUUGACACUGUUAAUAUAACAUAGGGUGUUAAUCUUAUAAUCGCCCUGUCAGCACUUUGUGUCAGAGUGUUAAUGACCGCCUUUCAGCCACUCAGAGCUGCCUGCCAAUAAAAAUAGUCCCGGCACCUAUCCAACCAGCAACUAUGCAGCUACUUUGCUUUUUCCCCAAAGAAUAAAUAGAAAUUUUCACUAGCCAUGUGGCCAUAAAGACGCUCCUCUCUACUUACUCAUUUCCUUUUCCUUCUCCACACCCACUGGCAAAAAAAAAAAAAACAACUUUGUCACUGGGCCCUUUUAAUGUAUUUUGCAUGCUUUAUUUUAGAAUGUACAAAUUAUUUCUCAACAACUUUUAAAUAAACACAACACCUUGGGCAGGAUAAAAGCCAAUUUUUUUUAACAGCAAGAAGCACACGUAUUUGCCACAGUUCUUUCCUAUGUAAAUAUAACUCAAAGGCAAAUGGUGAAUAUUUCUGUAAUUUCUCAGUGUUUGAGAUGAGCCCAUACUUUUGUCUCUGCACGAGAGGCUUUUCCAGCUUCCUGGCAGAGGGAACUGCACAAUUCCAGAUGACUUACUUACUUUGUAUGCCUAGAGGAAUUUUAUUACACAAAUAACAAAGAGAGACAAAGAAAGGAAGAGGGAGAGUACACACUCAAAAUAAUAAACAAAGAAUAAUAAACAUUCCUUCAAUUGCCCACAGGGAUUCCAGAUGUGGCUCCAUCCCUCUGCAAGUCCUGUCUGUGACUUCUUCACAGGCUGCCUUAGACAGUCUCACCCACAAAUCUGCUGCAUCUCGCGGGAUACUCAGGAGUUUUUCCGCAGAGUGACCUUGUAAUUGCAUUGAUGCACUUACUUGCUUUCUGACAGUCACAGACAAAAUCCAUACAAAAAGUACUGGUCUGCACUAGUGUGGCACGUGCCAGGGUAGGUGAUUCCUCAUGGCAAAACUCUCAGCUGAGUUCUUCAAGUGCACCACUGCCCUAAGAGCAAUAGGUUCUUGUGGCCUUCUGUAGUCUGGUGAUGGAUUUCCCCCCUCAUCCUGCUUAUCAUGUAUCUUCCAUCACUGACAUUUUGGGGCUUUAAUCACAAGUUCCAUGCACGCUUAAUGCAAAUAGGUUAAUUUACAAUAAGAUAUGAAAGGACCAACCAGCAAAAGUAAAGCAAUAUUGGAACUGUGAUGAAAUCGCAUGCUGCAGCCAGUUUGUUGCUCUGUUACUUUGUUAGGGUACUAUUUUUACUUAAAUUAUUAUAGGUUUCUUUUAAUCAAGUGACGUGGCUGAUUGGCCAAGGCUGCUUCCAGCCUCAUGUGUUAUCCAUCUGGAUUUUAUAUGCAUUGCAAUUUCCCAGCUGAAAAGAAGCAGACGUACUACCCAGCUUAUUAGAACUCAGUCCCAAAAAAGUAACAUUUUGUUCCUAGAGAAAAAUUUGUUUCUCAUGUGGGAUUUUAAUGCAGACCAAAAAAAGUAGGAAAGCAUAAACAAUCACCAGUUUCCAUGUCAUACAAAGCCAAAGAUGCAGCCAAAAUUAUUUCCAUAUUAAACAGAAUUUAUCUAGCUUUUGCUUGCUGUAUUUUACAGUAAGCACGAAUGUGGGAAUUCCUAUUACCUUGGACACACAAAGACUUUCAGUAUACCAAUAGAGAAGAAAUUGUGGCCUUUUUUAUACAUUCCAUAGUAUUUAAUAUGCUUUGCAAGAGUAAAAUGAAUGUGUAAGGAUAGAAACUCAAACCAGAUUAAGAUCUGCUUUGCCUUGCUUGCUAGGCAGUCAUUAAUAUUGAAAAUGCUUAUUAUUUAUUCAGACAUAGUUAUUAUAUAAUUAUUUUUAUAAUUAUUAUAUGAUUGUUAUAUAAUUAACAGUAGUAAUGAAAUAAUAGAUUUGGAUUCUAAAUGCAAGGGAAUAUAAGAUUCACCAUUAAUUUCCAGAAGCACCCUCUCCUGCAAUUACGACUUGAUGGAAGUCACUGUGGCCACUGGAAGGUGGGCUGCCCAUCCCCUUAAAUAGCUAUCACGCAGCCUAUCAUUUUAAACUUCUGCAAAAUUACUUAUUAGUAUAAAUCUAAAUAUUUAUGUAAUUGCAGUUAUGCCAAAAGGAAGGCAUUUUUAUAUAUAUUACUUUAAAGUGCAUGCAUCAGCAUGAAAAUAGAGUUGUGAUUUAGUUUUUUGUAGCUUUCCUAGCUGAUGCAGAAGUAUUUAUGACUCCCACUGACUUACCGAAGAAAGGAGUAUUUCAUUCUGCUUCAAUCUUGAUUUUUUUGCCUCGAUAGUCUUUACGCAUCUGAGCUCACAAUGCCAAUCACAUCAUCUGUGGAGUAACACAUGAUUUCCUUUUGCAUCACAGUGAGUUCCCAUAUAUCUCCUCUUGCAGUGUGAUCCCCAAAAAUGUUUACUCCACCCCUUCACAAGUAUUUUCGCAUGACAAUCCACAGUAGGAAAAGGCCACGCUUGUUUGUCCUGGUUGUAGUCCCCAGUUAAAAUAUAGCACAGCCGAGUGAAGACAAAGUAUUUAAGUGUUAGGGCGCUAGAGGUCUAUCCCUAUUUAAAUAGAUUAACUAGUUUAUCCCACACCCUGUUUCUCUUACUUUACCUCUUACUGGGGACUCAUAAAAAUAACUGUACUUGGCAGAAGGGAGGAACUUCACCAUCUUCAAUAGGAACAUCAAUUCAGCUGUUUGGGUGGUGAAUGUGGAAUCAAAUCUGCAUAUAUAUAUAUAUAUAUAUAUAAAAGAAUGAUAUGUACAGAAAUGGAAGGGAAGAGGGUAGCAGAGGAGAGUGAGAGAGCAGUCCUUCCACCUGCAAAUCCCAGAGCACUGUAAACCAAUCACUUUACCCAGGUCUGCUUGGCAGGCAAUUUUCACAUCCCAGUCAUCAUCUGUGCAGGGAUUUCUGAGUUUCACAUGAUGGCAAGGCUGAGCAGGUCACUAUAGUUCAAAAGGAUGAGGUCCAGGACUUCCAUCCAAACAGCUGUGGUUCAUAUUUGAAUUUUAGCCUUGUGGACUAUAAAAACCUCAGACCCUGUGAUCCCCAAGGAAGUCUUGCAUAAGCCUUGGUCUCAAUUAGUGGAGCACAGAGAAAGUAAUAGGUCCAGACUUCAGCUAACCUUGGAACACUGACAGUAAAUGGUCAAACCUCUCUUAGAUAUGUGUGUAUAUAUUUAACUUAACAGUAACGAGACUAACAUGCAUAUUGAAGGCCAGCUAUUACCCCAAAGUAAGCAAAUUAGGAGAAGCCAAGAACAAUCAAACUUUGUUACAUUUUAGAAUUUUGCCAAAACAAUAGCUAUCUCAGAAUUAUUUUAUAGGUUAAGCAAAUCCAUCUAUCUGCAGUGCGAUUUCAUCUUUCCAACAGAACUUGGUUAUUUACCAGCUUUUCAGUGGUAUAGUUCUGAUAAGUGAAGCAUAUCUCCAAGAACUCUUGUGCAAAAGGGAAACAGCUGUUUGCAGAGAUGAGACAUUAUGGUUAAGGAAACCUCCUGGGAGCACUGUGACAGGCACAGUGCUUGCAGAUUACAAAGAUGUGAGAAGAAGGGAAUGCUGUUUAAUUUUGUGAUCCCUUCUUCCCUGUGGGAAAGUGGUUUUGGAAGAGUGGGAAAUUCAUAUGAAUUUGAUUUGAUAGUUCUGAGGGCAGGAGUUCUUUAUUGACAGCCUGGGUGGUGCUGACACAAAUGUGCCUUUUUUUCACUUCAUUGCUGGCUUACAGACAAUACUUCUAGAGAAGACACAAGUUCACCCUCCUUGUCUUUAAACCUGUGGUUGCCCCUGAGCCUCGAGUUAGCAUUUAUUUUGGAGGAAUUUGCUUGGAGAUAGUGAGAUUCUGUCAGUAAAAUUUGGUCUGAGUCCACUAAGGAGAUUUCCACAAGCUAUCAUUCAACAUAGCCAUCAGCUGGUCACAGCUUUCAGUUACCACCAGCCUAAUUUGACCAAAUGGGCUAAAUGGAGGGCUGAGUCCAUGAAGCUGUUAGAUUCAGCCACAAGUUGAGGUAGCACUGCAUGGUCAGUUCCUUUAUAAUCUAUAAAAAUAACCACCAAAACAACAGCCAGACCUUCAGCAUCCCAUCAAUUACACCUCAAGCUAUCCAGUCUCCUUGCUGCUGUUCAUCAAAGAGAUCGUGCACAUUAGCAUAAGCAUAGGGGCAAGAGUGGAACUUGUGGUCUUGACUGAAAUAUUUCUAUGAUGCCUGUAGGCUGCAGUAGUCUAUUUCACGCAGGACUUUGUAGGAUGACUCGAGAAUAUGAAAGCUGUCUUCUGUCUCUUUGGUAGAAGAGUGCUGUAAAGAGGAAGAUAUUUAGGCCAGUAAAUAUCUACAGAAAUAUAAGCCAAAAAAAGAAAGAAAACUGGUUGUUUCACCGAGACUGCAUGGCUGGUCACAUGCUUCCAGAACCAUACAAAAGGUGCCCUAUUCACACUGGAACUAAACACAUACCAAACAAAAGAGCCACUACAGAAUAGGAAACAGAGUGAUUUCAGGAAUCAAAUCUAGGAAAGUGGCUGCUUUAUCCCCAACAGUGUCUAGAGUGGGGUGAAGGAGAAGAUACAAGCAGGUUCAACAGAUAUGUAUGAUAUCUCUGAGAAAAUGGAAAGCCUAACUUACAGUUAGCACUGGAGAAAACAUUACAGAUGAUUGUUGGUAGCUUCAUUUUACCUGGAUUUAUCUGUUUUUGUUCUUAGGUGGAAAAUAAUUAUAGCCAAGGCAAUUUUUGUAGCUAAUAAGCUACGGGAACCAAAUCAGAGAGCAAGUGCCAAUAAAAACUGUGACCUGCACAUUUUUUGGCAGAAGCUGGCUAGCUUUGCUUGUGGCAUGGCCUCUAUUUAAUGGAGAACAUGCAAUGCCCUUAAAAAAAUAAAUAAAUGUCUCUAUUUGAAUGAAAAGACCCAGAAGGAGAUGACUGAAAUCAAAACAGUACCUAGCAUGAAGGAAGCUGAAACAUCCAAAUAAACAGUAGUUUAGCUGGCAUAUGUAGACACAUAUACAAACAAACACAUAUAUCUCUAGGUUUUCAAUUCCCCUCUCAGCCCUUUCCAGGAUCCCACAUUCCACUCCUUCCAUCUGCACGAGCUUUAGACACCACUGCUUGUGUCACACAUUCUGUAAAGAACACCAUUUUCUCUGUAAGCCUUUAUUAUUGUUGGUACUGAAAUAAUACUUAGCUUUUCCAAAUAAAACACAGGCUCUGGAGAGCUAAAAAACAGCUAAUACAAGCAGCUAGUAAGGUAAAGGUCUUGUCUCAAAUAUGGCUGAGAUUAUCGUUUAUGAUUUUUGUUCGGAAGAUUUCAGAGCGUGUGGUGGCUGAGAUUGAAACAGUAAUGAGGAAUGUAAGCUCAUUCAUUUAAAAUUUCUUAUGAUUAUAAUAAUGUAUACCUUUGAUUUCAACUCUAUGCGCUACCCACAUAUAAUGUAGACUAUAAGCAUUUUCCACAUUCAGAACUCUCAUCAUAUUUGUCCAACGAGUUGACUUGUCCUUGGGAAACCAGCACCCUUUUGAGAGCAGUGAAAAAGUUACCCCUUGCUUAAAUAUCACGCAAUAAGGUUAUCAUUCUUACAAUCCUGGAUCAAGGCCAUUGAUCCCAGAAGUAAUUUCUUAAAUGAAUCAAUGUGUGUAACAUUUUUCUUCGAAGUAAUAGCCUAGAAAAUAGUGUGAAAGCCUCUUUACAUUCAGUAGACUUUCAGUUUGUACUAUUGUAGUUAUUCAUAACAAAUACUACUGGACACAUGGGCAAUGCUGUUCUUAAAUGCUUUUUUCAAUGAAUUUGUUUCUUUAAAGAAAGAAUAGAGCCUUCUGAGACAAUGACUUGUAGGAGGAGCUACUAUUUCCAGCUUUGUUAAGCACUGUGAUCAUGAGAAGCUCAGUUAUUCACUUUUCUUUCCACCUACCUUUAGCUGUUCUUCUGUACCACCGGUUUCAUCAUUCUUAUGAUACACUUACAAAAAAGGAAGUACUUCUAAUAAACUUUUCAGCAAGUUGGAAGAAGUUUUGUUCUGUUUGCCCCCAUUGUCACUUUCUUAUAUGUAACUGAUUGUUCAAAUGAUGUUAUAAUUUUUGACUCAUUGAGAUGCUAUUGAUUUUGGCAUUAAUAAAUGGUUUUCCAAACAGAGAUAAUAGGGAAACAGUUAUUUCUUCUGUGUCAACAAGAAUAGAGUGCAGCUUAACCAAAUGUUUAUGAAUUCUCACAUUUAGUUCAUUCAACUUAGUUGCAUUAGUAAGCAUUUUCAGUAAGCAUUUAUUCUCAUUUGGCAGUGGAUCUCUUCAUCUCUUACACCUCUAAAACUGGAUUUUUUUUGGUUUUUUUCCAAUGCUUUAUUUUACUUACACACUAUUUCAUGAAAAUCAUUAAAGACAAAACUUCCAGUUAGUUACCAGAAUGCCACCAUUUGUUAUAAUUAAAUAUUUAUUUGAUAUAUACCAACAGCUUUUUUUCAGUUCAAGAUUAUUCAUCACCAUCACCUUGGAACAGUAGCUUUCAAGAUAGUUAAAGCAUAGACUAAGCUUCAUUUUGGGAGAACAUGAAGAAUCAUACCUUUAAGUAAUUUCAAGUGUUGGCUCUUCAAAGCAAUCAGCUGUUCUGUUUUGAGCUUGCUCAGUAUCUCAGUGACGUACUCGAAUUUGACCAAAACAUCUACAUGUUUUAAACAGUAGAAUACACACAAAAAACAAACAAACAACAACAACAAACAUUAUCACAAUAGUUACUAAAAUCUAUUUUCAAAGACAUUGAUGCAUGCUUUAAUUUUCAAGCUUUUGAGUUGUACCAAGGAUAUACAAACUUCACCCAGAGCAGAGAAGCUGCUCAGUGCGGACAAAAGAGGGACCCUGGAAAAACUUAAUUCUUCUACAGAAAAAAUUUGGCAAAUAGGUCCUUGCCUUGUUUCCUUUCAUCAUUUAUUAACAAGAUUAGUUUCCUAAUACAGCUAAACAGAUUGUUGCUUUAGUUACUGCAGAGAGGAAAUUAUAUCUUACCACAAGUUGAAAAGCAUUGGAAAAAUAAUGAUGGCCCUAUAUCCGAGUAUAAAAACUGGCCUGAGAAGAGUAGUAAUUUAAGACUGACCACUAGCAUUCAUACUGAUAUUUUUCUCUUCUGUUUACCCUGUUUAUAUAAACAUUCCCUAAGUGUUUAUUUGUAAGACUUACUUCAGUUGGCACCUUAAACCUUUGACUUCAGUAGGUAUGUAGAAGGAUGCCAGCUCAAGCAUAAGAUAUCGAAAUAUGCCUUGCAUAUUUCCUCCUAUCUGAAUGAAAAACUAUUAGUAUACUUCCCAACAUAAGUGUAAGGCCACUGGUCAAUAAUAUUGAAAAUCAAAAUCCACAAUCAAAGCAGAAUUUCUGAAAAAGACUACUCUGGAAAUUCUGGUCUUAGUUACAUAAUGAUUCAUCAAUUCUCUGUAGCUUUGAAGCUCACAUAGCAAACCUGAGGUCUAAAUUGAAGCAAGUAGCCUGAAGUUAACAGUGAUGUUUUCCUUCCCAUAAUCUUUGCCAAUCUCACUAAGGCAAGUUUAUUACAAACUUUUACAAAUUAUAUGCUAACAUAAACCCAAGCUAAGUCCUUGUCUGGAAAAAGUUCUUGUGCUACUAGUAGAACUCUCCUAAAAAUAUAAAAAUAUUACUCAGGCAAAUGUGUGACUUGAAAUAGAAAUUUCAAGGGUAAUUUGUGUUGCUAUGUCUUCAACACAGCUGAGAAAUCUGUGAUGGCUGAGCAGAUGAGGUUUCUGGCUACUCUUUAAAGUGUUUAUAUUUUUUGAAACAGACUUUGGAAAUACUGUUAAAGCUGAGUCAAAGUUUAAGUUUAUUAGCUUUUCUUAUUUCUGCCAGUCUUCAUCAUUGGAGAAGGACACUCAAGAACAACUUUGCCUUGAAUCUGAUUUCACUCAUCACAAUGAGCUUCAUUUGCUAUUCAUUAUCUAGCUGUACAGAUCUUUCAUGCUUGUGCAAAAUGGCGUAUUAUUUUCUAAGUUUCUUUCAAAAUCUGUAGAUUAAGUGAAUAUUUAGGGCAUGGCUCAUCCUUCUGGGUUUAUACUCUGAAAUAAAGAUUUUUCCAAAGCCAAAUUUCCCUCUAGAGGUUCUGCAUUAACAACAGUGUAAACAGGUACAGAAAUCAAACAUCUUAAUUUGUUAUUUUUUCUGCUAGUUCUGUAUCAAAUACUGUGAGUCAGGGCGUGAAUGCAGAGCAUGCCUGGUCUUUCUGUGACUUGUUCACAAAUUCAUUCAGUUUCAGCUGCAGGAAAGAUUUAGGAGUCUUUCCUGGCUGAUAGGCCAUUAUGAUUCAAUUUUUUAAUAACAUUUAUGAAUCGUGUGGUUUACAAAAGUGUUCCACAUAAACACAAGAAUAUCUCCAGUAUCCUCCAGUACAGAGGAACACUGAAAGCCAUGACCAUGGGUAGAAGAAUCGCUGCAGCUGAUAUGAAUAAACCACAAAAAUCUUGCUUUAGCAUGUUAUUCUACCUUUGAAGAGACAUUUGAGUGGCAAGCUCAUCAAAGGCUUGGUGCCUUGUGUCAGAGACUACUAUAUCACAAAAACCCUUCACAAGCUAAUCAAGUUUCAAAAUAAAAGCACUGAAAUUUCUCACCUGGCUGCAGCAGUUCUUGUUGGUGGACAUAUCUUUGAAAGCUGUAAUCAUCUUUUACAUUAGAUAAGUUUAUUACAUUUUUAAAGUCUAUGUUGUCAUCAAAUCCCACCACUUCUCCAUUGGUGGUUUUUGGAGAAAGUACCAUUGAAAAUAAAAUAUUUCUUGUGGAAAUAUUACUCUUAUUCCCCUACUAGAGUUGAUCAUAGCAAGGCCUUUUGGUUAAAACUUCUAAGACAUUUCAAAACAUUGAGUUGGAAAGAACUUCAAUAUUUAUUGAUGCUUGGAAGUCUUCCCGCAGCAUCUUUUCUGGCCUUUCAGUCACCCUAACAAAAAACAUGAGCAUGUGAAUGCAAAACGUGAUAUAUCCUUGACAAUUUUCAUGCUCUGUCUCUCUUCACAGCUAGGACAUUCAAGAAAUUAAAAAAAAUAAAACAAAGUAGUUGACAUUUAUUGAAGGGAAGAGGUUAUGGAAUCAUGUCAAACAGAACACUAGCAGAAUAAAGCCUGCCAGUAAAUUUAACUCCUUCUAGAGUUUUAUUGCUCAUCAUAAUUAUUAACAUCUUUAGUUAGAACACCAUUUGGAUAUCAUUAAAAUAAAUGCAAACAAUUUUGGACUGUCCUUAAGAUUUUUUUUUUUAGACAUGCUUUUUUUAUCACUCAGCUCACUAAUAGAUUGUUUUUAUCAUAGAAUACUAAGUUACAUACAUUAAACAGAUUAGCAAUGUCCAAUGUCCUGUUGAGCAAGAAAUAAAAUCACAGAGAUUUAUUACUGUAUUACAAAUUACUUGAAAUAAAUGCUUGUGGAAAAAAACCUGCAUGUUCAUUUAACUAUAACUUCACAGUGUAUCCUCUAUACACUAAAUUCAUGUUAUGAACCUGAACCUUCUGGAAUGGAAUUCAUUCUCAUUUGGAGCUUUACCUUCAGAUGGUUUGCAAUAUCCUCUCCACAACAUUCUCUUGUCCAUGUAGCAACAAGAAGGAGACAGGGAAUCAAAAACUGACAUGAAAUCUCACAUCAUUUGAAAGUGAUUUGUUCUCUGCUCCUAAAUCAUCCAAGACAGUGAUUUAAACUAAUCUGGCUAUUUUGUCACUGACAUGGGCUAGAAGUACUUGCUAGAGUACAGACCACAUCUCAACUGUAGAUGUGGUAUGAAAGUAGAAUUGAGAGUUAGAAGCUAGAAAGUAGGAAUUGAGAGUUGCAGACAGUCAUUUCUUAAAUUGCUCCUCUGCAUCCACUAAAGGACAUCUGAAUGUGUACUCACCAAGGCUCUUGUAGUACUGGCUAAUUACUUCUUUCAAAGCCAAGAGUUUAGGUUGUUUUUUUUCGUAUCACUUUUCUAGAAGUAUUAAUUCAUCUUAAAUUGAUUUCAUCUUUAAUGCAGCCAGAUAACUAAAUGACUUCCUUGCACAGUUUGCCAAACGGUCUUCCAAAGCACACAAAGAUUUUCUGAAUUAUAGAUAAGGCCACUUAGCUAACAGUACAUUUCAGCAUAUAUAACAAAUAUGGUCCCAAGGGAUCAUUUUUGUUAUAGAACACAACACAGUCAUGAUUAAUAAAUGGCAUUUUUAUAUAGCAUGUUUUGCAGUUUACAGCAAAUAAGCAAAAUAAAAAAUUAACAAAAGAUAAUAUUCUUCCCACUGUUUACAUGGGAAAAGGAAUUUGAGGAAAGAACUUUUGCCUCUUCCUCUACAGAAUAACACCAGGAAAUCUAUGUGGCAGGAUCUUUGUGAUCUUUUCCAGUUUGCUUCCUCCAAAAGUAUUUCCUCCCUUAAAGGGUAUGUGAGAGAAAGAUCAAGUUGGAACAACUCCCUUGAACAUCCUCUGAGCAGGAGUGCUACUUGCUUUUGGGGGCUGGGUUUCUUUCUUUGCCUUGCUUUGCAUUUUUUAAGUUAAAUGCAGAAUGAGAUGAUUGAGCAGAUUCAAUGAGCAGUCUGUGUGCUCUCAGGGAUACGUAGAUCUACAUAACUUCUCAGUAGCUUCCAGUCUUUGUUAAAAGGGCUGAGAAGUCAUUGUUUUGUGAUUUUUGUCUUAAAAAUCUUAAAGUGGAUAAAGUGAAGAUUUUCUGCCAAUCUGAGUCAAAAGGUUUAGUCUGGAAGAAAACACAUCUGCUUAGCAUUUGUGUUUCCUGCUGGAAAUCUCAUUGUGAAUUCCUCCAGAGCAACGUUCCACAGACAUCCGUAGCUGGUCGUAAACAGGGAGCCUCUCCAGCCCCACGUUCACACAAACAUUCAACUAUUUGCUCUCAUGAAAUAGCAGCAGAAUGGUACCUCUCUAUGUGAUAUGCGUCUGCUUUAGCAGUGAUUCCUCACUCUGCCAGGCCAUUACAGCUCAACUCACUGCAGAAAUAGUCAAAACAAUCUGACCUCUCUGCCAGUUUGCACAUCUGUGCUCCCCUAAGAAAGCAUAUGAAGUAAAGGAUUUUGCUGUUGUUCUUUUUCCUUUUAUCAUCUUCCUUAAUGUUUUUGUCAUCAGACAAUGGUAUCUUCCACGUUUUUUUCUGAACUUAGCAGAAAAUUUCAGAAGAGACAGAAGUACUUACUAUCAUUUUGUCCUACAUACUGAGACAGUAUUCUUUGUGGAUUUAAUCCAUUGACACACAUUGGAAGAAAAAGAAAUUUCCGCAUCAACUCGGUUGGUGUUUUGAAAAUCUGAAUGCCAAUAAAUAGAAAAUUAAAUCACUAAGAAUUUUUAUGUAGGCAAUGUAUAAAGACAAUCUAGCUGGACAUUUACAUAAAAUAAAUAUCAAACCUUUUCCAUUUUAUUUAGCAUUUGACAAUCACUUCAAAAAUUUCAGCUGGCAGUGUUCCUGUAAUUACUAAGUAUUCUGCAAUAAAAGUUGUAAUUCUGGGAAGAAUAGGUGAUGAUAAUAUUUAAUAAUGCAAUUUUAUCCUUAAAUGCAAACACACUUUUGUUUUAAACAUGGACCACUUGACAAAUUUUCAUAAUACAUGCAUCAGAUAUAUUACAAUGCAUUUUGGAAAACGGCCAAGCAGUGAUACAUUUAGGACUUAAAAAUUAAAAAGUCAAUUAGUUCUGAAAAUGUGACUGCAAAGCAAAUCUUCCACAUGUGGGGAGACAAGGGCCUCUCUAACAAAAACAGGUCUUGGAAUUAGCAAAUUGCUUACAUUUUAGAGUCCAUGCACCUCUUUUUGAGGUUGCACUUUUUAAUCCUUUCAAUUUCUUAACACAUGUAGCUAUAGAAAUCAGUCAAAACAUGGAAAGAGGUUUUGUUUGCUUUUUUUCAAUGAUUAACUAGAUAAAAGGAAGGUGUUAAUACUUAGUAGUGAUUUAAUUUCAAUGGCUUCACAAGAAAUUAUAUCUCAUUUGGAAACCUGUAAUUGUUAUCACGUCAAGUAAAUUUAAAAGGUACAGAAAUUGGCUUCAUUUAUCUUAAAGGCAAAAGAUGGAAUGUUAUUAUUUUCAGCUACGAGAGUGAUCUUCAUUUGUGCAAAUUACUCUUUUGAAGUCAAUGUUCUUUAGUUAGUUUAGCAGUUAGUGCUGGAAGAUGGCUACAUUUCAGCAUGAGCAUUACAAAGCUUUGAAUUUUUUUUAAUAGAAAAAGUACACAAAUAAUUCUCAAACAACUUACGCUGAAUAAUACUGAACUGGUAAUAGGAUAUGGAUUGUUUACUAUUAAAAACAGUUCUUGAAUCCAAUACUGUGUAAUGUGCUAAGCACUGUAAUUGUGCUGGGGAGAACAGACAGGUUAGAAAAUCAAGUGUAAACAGAUUUUUGACACAGUAUUACUGAAUCUGAGAUGUAAUGGAAAAAUGGAAAGAGAGAAAGGGUGAAAGCGAAAAAAGGAAGAGAAAGUGAACGAUCAUGCUACAGUAGAACCAACACGAAAAAAGAGGAAAAUACAUUGGGAAAUUAUCAUCUACAGAAAAGUAAUGUGUCUUUACGGGACUUGUACACAAGCAUAUUAGUUACUGUAUUCUUAGAUAUGACAAAUUAGUUGGUAGGAGACACAGGCGGGAAAAGGAUUCUAAUACUCAUGGCGGAGAUAAGGAGUACAGCAUAGAGCUCAAGAAGAGAAAAUAAGACAUCUGAAAAACAAAUGAGCUGCCACAGAAAGAAAUAUUCAUAAUAAUGUGAAUUGCAAAAUCAUGUUUGGACCAAAAAAAGAUAGGAAAGAAGGUCUUUAUUACUCACAAGCUCACAAGCUCUUAUUUAUAUAUUAAGUCCAGAGCAAAUUCCCAGACAUCUGGAGUCUGGAGAAUACUUCUGCACAGCUGAGCAAAGCCCAAGGCCAUCUCCUGGCAGGACAGAGACAAUGGAUGCCAAGUCUAUCUGAGAAUGGUGUACAUGAGAAGUCUGCUGAUGAAGACUGCCUCACAUUACAAAUAGCUUGAGGAAAAAUGGGGGGGGGGGGGGGAGGGGGUUGGAAGGAACAGAUAAGGAAUGUGGUUGGGAAGAGGACUGUGCUUUUUAUGCUGUUCUUGGCUUGAGUGUUGCAGAGGUCUAUGGCUGCCUUGAGAAGAGAUCUGAGAACCUGACACAUCACUUAAGAUGGGGUAAGUGGCUAAAUGCAGUUUUAGACUGUAACUAAGAAAUACUAAGAUGGUGAAACUGGUACUGGCAAAGUCUCUGACAAAUCUUCUUCUUCUCCAAGACAAUGCUGUUUCCUUGAACAUCUCACAACAGUCUCCUUACAAACGGGCAAUCCUUGUAGCUUCAAGUCACCAGUGCCUCUGAACAAGGGAGCCUGUGUAUGCAGAUGUGACUAUUCUCAUGUACACAUAACCAGCUACUAUUUAAAAAAGUGGCUUUUUGCUCAGACACAUAACAGAUCUGCACGUAUUUUUUAGAUGUGUACAAUAUGCAAGCAUAACUUUGACUAUCUAGCCCUUUCACACUAAAUGGUUCUGCACGUCUCUUUAACCCCCCACCCCUCUGCCUUACCCCUGAAUGAAAGCAAAGACACCACUCAAUACUCAAAUCACUAAAAGUAAGUUCAUUGCUGCACCUCAAACACAUGUUAAAAUACCAUGCUGUUGUCUUGUGACAGCAAUAUAGUAUGUCGUUAACAUCAGUUUUAUUUUAUUUACUCUUUUGGAGCAUCACAGCUUUUCAUGAAUGGGCAAUGUACGAUGCAGUUCUGGUCUUAUCCCAACAUGUGUAACAUCUGGAAGAACUGCCACUUGUCAAGUCAACCAAGGCCCUGCUGACAGACAAAGUGAGCAUUAUACUGAAAUGCCAUUCCUCAGCUGUUUGCAGAAUUGAUUUCCCUGUAGAAUUUUCUAAUUAGUUGGCUCUUUCUAGCCCGUUCCCCACAGAGGAAGCAGAAAGGAAGCAAAAUGCUAGCACCUGCUCCUAGAGCUCUGGCUGGGAAAAAAAAAAAAAAAAAUUAAAUUUAAGGAUGACAUAUACAGUAAGUAUUUAGGCACUAGAAAGUCUUCUAUCCAUGCAGCUGUGGGGAUGAAGUAAGUCUGCUUGAAAGCUUAAUGGGGAUUCUUCUGUGGGGAAGAAUUUCCAGUGGCUCACAUUCCAGACAGUUAACCACAUUAUCGAGGGGAAGAAAAAGGGAUUUGUUCAAGCGUUAAGAACAGUUGUUUUUUUUAUUUUUGUGUGUGUUUUUUUUUUUAAAGGAAGAAAAAAAAAAUCCACCCUGAUCUGUAGAAAAGAGAGACAGAUUAAUUUAGACCUGCUGACGAUUUUAUAUGUAGUUCAUUCCAUCGCCUAUGGGUUAUUUUUGAUCAGCUCAUUUUUCCAUAAUUUCAAAUUAAAAUCCAUUAUUAUGAAGGAAUGUAGUGUGUGAUAUUAUCUCAGGGGUAACGACUACAUCCACAUAGAUGUUCCUAAGUAAAGUGAAUCACUGGAACAAAAGAGAUAGACAGCACAGUUAUUGAUAUUACUUUGAAUUCAUGUGCAAUGCAUUAUUGUGCUGGAAGAACAUACGAAUUCAUGGAAAACAGAAGUAAUAACAAAACAAUCCAAGAAAAGCAGUUAGCAUUUUUGACUACACAGGUUUGUUCACAAAAUAAAAAAUAAAAAUAAAAAAAUAAAAAAUAAUACUUUUUAAAAAAUCAAUAUUGAAUAUAAAGGGAGUCUGCUAAGGAUAGAAUAUGUGAUAAAAAAGCUCCCUUACUAUAUCCAUUAGAAUAAGGCAAAACUACGUCAAUAAAAUAUAUCACUGGUAGACCUUACAAAAUAUAUAUGGGCAAGAAUGAAAGAUGUAGAAUAGUAUUAUGGACACCAACUAACCAAACGGAUUUGCUGGGUGUUGAUCAGCACAAUGUGUGAAUUUGACCUUGAGAUGAGCAUGAGUUUUCCAUUAAUAAGGUAGAGGGUUUUUAAUUCUACAGUACAAAGUAAUUUUUGUAUAAUUGCAAAACUUUGAAAGUCGUGUUUCACAGAAUCAAUGCAUGUUUAUCAAUGCAUGCAUAUCCUUGGAGGAAGGGAUGCAGGGGACUAAAAGACAUUUUAGUUAAUAAUGUAAUGAUUUCAUGCAUUGACAGAGUUACUUUUUUAUAAAUUUACUAUUCUCCAGUACAUCUUUAGAUAAAUACUCCCCACAGGGAGUGUAGGUAGGAGUAUGGGUUCUCUUAAACAAACAAAGGGAAAAAAAAGAUCCUGUUGCUUGUGUGGGACAAAUGCUCAGACCUUAUUCUCCAUUCAAAGACGUUUUUGAAAUAAAAAUAAUGAAAUAAAAAGCAGAGGCGUAAGGCUACACUAUUCUUGUUCUCACUGACAAUGCUUGGUAAUAUUUUCCAGUGUAUUGUUUUUACAGUGGAAAAUUAGUGUAUGCUGGCAUUUAUUCUUGUUAUAUUCUAUGGCGUUUUUUUUCUUUUUUCUCCAAAAAAUCUACAAUUAUUUCAAGUGGACUUCCCCCUGAAACUCAUAUUCAAGGAAAAUUGCAAACUUAGAAAACUGAAGUAAACAAUACUUAGAAAUGGUACAGCUAAAUUCAUCUGUGGAUUUGAAAAUCUCCCAUGAUACUUUAGUCUGGCCCAUUAACUGCACCUGUUCCUUUUUCCUUUUCUUUCUUUUUCUUUUUCUUGGCCAUAAUUUCCCUUUCAAUAGCAGGUGUUUGGCUUUCCAAGAAUGCAUAGAAUAUUUUCUUUCAUUACUGUCUCGGCAUUUCAACUGAAAAAAAAGUCUUCAUCCCAUCACUCUCCCCUUUGAAAUUCAAAGAGUGGAAAGAGAGAGAAAGGUUGUUUAUGUUUGGAAAGAAAAAGGAGCGAUAACUCACAGAGAAACACAAAGUGAAACAGUAAUCUGUUCUCCACAAAUAACAAUCUAAAUUAACCGAUUUUAUAUGUUUCUCCUUUUUUUUUUUUUUUUUCCUUUGACCAUAUAAUUUCUUAAAAGAGCAAAGUUUCACUACAGUCAUUUUGAAUUGCUUCUAGUUUGGCUGUAGACUUUUCAUGAAUAUAAACACACAUACACUGCUAAAGGCAGCUGUUCCACAGAAGGCCUUUCCUGUCAAUUGUAGAAUCAUUUAAAUUUAAGUUACCGGUGGCUCAUUCAAAUACAUGUGGUAUUUUUUUCUUAGGUAGAGUGAUGAUGAAUAACAAUUUGAGUGUGAAGAAGGCAUUUUUCCCAAGUGAUUUCAGUUUACAGUAUUUUUAUCUAAGUGUGAAGUCAAGAAAACAAGCUAAGAAUACCUUGGUCAAUUUCAGGAAAUAACCUCUGCUUCUAUAUUACAAAAUAAAAUUAAAAAUACAUUAAAACUAAAUAUAGUUGUCUUCUCCUUUGCUUCUAAUUAGUUUACAUUAGUUUAAAUCUAAAACACAUGAAGAAAAAAGUCUAGAGAAAGGAAAACAAAUCAGAUUUUCUGUGGGCAGCCUCUAACCUAAAGAAUAAUUCUACAUUAUAGUGCAGAUGACUCAAUCCUUCUUUCUCUCAGUUACCAAGAAAAGCACAAAGGUCAUCUUCUGUGCCUUCCCAAAAAUUUAGAAAAAUACCAUGUAGAUCUCUGAAAACAAAUGUUUGACUCAAACACCACAGUAUUGUUUCAGGAACCUUUUCUUACUGCAAGUGGUAUUUUAACACCGCUGGUAGGUGUUACCUAUGUUUUGGGACAGCAAAAUGUCACCCAUACUAAAAAGAAAGGGCAGGAAAAUACUGUCUUGGCAAAAACUUUAAUAUGUAUCUACAAGUGGUGAGGAUAAUAAGAAACAAAAUAUAAUUUGUAUAGUUUGAUGUCAAUUAGGUGACACCUUUCAAAGUCCAGGGUUAUGGUUUGCUUUCCUUCCUUCCACUUUCAGCUGACAAAUUUUCUUUUCCUACUCCAGAGGAAGCUAGUACAAACAUAGUAUUUCUCCUUGUUCCUGCUCUGUCUUGCUUGUUCCUUUUUUUUUUUUUUUUUUUUUUAAUAAUCUAUUUCUCCACUGAGAUGACUUAUACUGUUUUCCCUGAAGGUGUGCAUGUGGGCUAAUGCUGCUGAAUGACAUGCGGUGAGAUCCUAUGUACCUGAGCCGACUCAGUGACCACCUCUAUUUACAACACAGAAUCACAAAAUCACAGAAUCACAGAAUGGCCUGGGUUGGAAGGGACCUCAAGGAUCAUGAAUCUCCAACCCCCCUGCCGGGCAGGGCCACCAACCUCCCCAUUUACUAGACCAGGUUGCACAAACAACACAAGGCAUAGCUGCCAGAGAGAGAGGCUAGCAGGUUGCAACAUGAUUAUUAAUAUCACUUUACAUUUCAUAUUCUUAUCUCUAACAGCUAAUCUAUGUAGCUCAGGAUAUGAAGUGCAAUUGAGAGAUGAGGGACAUUUUAGUACUUAUCAGGAGCGAUGAUAUUUGAGAUUUGGAGACGAAGGUUUUGUUUUGUUUUGUUUUGGCUUUUUUCUCUUUCAGAGGAAGGUAGGAUUUGGUGGUGGUGGAUUUUUUUAAUGAGAGGACUGACUGAUGUGUAUCACUUGACCCCUGUUUCAGGUGAUGGAGUAGCUGGCAGGGAGCUAUUCAUACCGAUGAGAUUAAGUGAGCUGGUAUUCAGAUUAACUUCUGAUUUCCCCAGUAUUAUUUGUACAAGUUCUUUAUUGCUCUGGAUAAUUCUCCAGUUCUUGGUUUAGGAAGUGGAACUGACAUCCUCCUCAACCAUUGCUACCAGAUCACAGUCUUUUAUUAUGUCAGAUGACAUGAUAGUCAUAGAUCCACCCAGCCUACUAUUUUUUCAGUAGUAAAAUUAGACUUCUGUGAAAUUUGCUUUGUUCUAAACAAAGAGCAGUAAUGCACAACUUGAUCAUCUAAAAAAGAUUUAUAGUUCUGAGAGUAAUCAGGAUAUUACUUUGAAUUAACAUUUCUGUGGCUAAGGCAACUGCUGUCUUCUCUCAGGAACAGAAUGUUUGUUUAACCAGGGCAGCCUUCAACUCUUACAUGUGCUCAGAGUCCCACAAACUCCUCUGCUCUGGCUGGACGGAACUGUGAUAUUCCUUCCUUCUUUAGCUAUUGCUAAGCUCAUGGCCCGCAGUACCUCCAAGUCUCUUUCUGUUUUUACAAUUAACCUGUUAUUUGUCACUGUUUUGUCUCAAUUGACUUCCACAAAAGAUCUUGAAGUGAUUUACAAGAAGGGUAGAUUCACAACAAGCUUUCCAAAUGCUCCCUCAUUGUAUUUGCAAUUCUAGGCCCAACAGACCCUGCAACUACAGAUGAGAUUCGCCAUAGAACAGGCAGUGAGUUAUCACUUGUGUAUAUUAGGAUUUCUACUAUGCCAGUGAACACAUUUUCACUGACAUUUCCUUUUCCACCCUGCGUAUUAAACCUCAUAUUUCACAUAUCUGCACAGAAGACCAGGUUUGGUUUCCAUGAAUGGGCCACAUUAUGUUUUUAUAUGUUAUUCAAUCUCCUACAGGCUUUUAUCCAAACCAAGCAACUAAAAUAAAACAUGGCUUCCUUCCCCGAGAUGGUUUCAUAGCUCAGCUCUCCAACUUUCUCCCCUACCACAAACACGCAACACAAUUGUGCAACAGCCUAGGAAGGAAUGGUGAGAUCAGAGCCGUGACUGCAGACAUCCUGACAUGGGGAUCUGGCAGCUAUUCAACACAAACACAAUUAGAGGACUUACCCUUGCGUGAAGUAUUUGCUUUCUUGAUAGUCACCAGCCUUAACCUCUAGGAAUGCUUACGAAUCAGAUAGCAUUCCUUGAGGAGGGUGAGCCUUUUCAAGCUCCUCUGUCUUGUUUUAGCCAACACAGAUAUAAGGAAGAAAGAAAUUCCACCACAUCAUACAACUUCUCCAAGUGAAAGCAUUUCAGAGGACAGAAGAGCUGUGAUCUCAAAAUUUCUGCCAAGGAUUCAAGAACCAAAUUUGUGAACAUGAUACUUGUUCCUUUCCCCCUUCAUUAUGACCAGCAGGAAUAAAUAACAGCACAACAGGCAAGCUUUGGAAUUCACACCAAAUGUGAAAGUAGGGGCUCCCUGAGGCCUGCAUAUUGGCUCCUCAUCACCGUAGGCUUCUCUUGCACUGCUGAUCCCACAGAAUGAUGGCAGGGUUUUGCAUAUCUUAGAAAACUUGGAGGAUCUGUGCGUCUGCAUAUCUCUUUGUGACCUUGUUCAUGCUUUCAGAAAAUGUAGCCUAAUAUACAUGUGUGUUACCCAACCUACCACGAAACCUAAAGCAUAACAACACAAGUAUUUUGGUAGUUUUAUUUCUACUCGUGGUAAAUCCAGGGCUUUUCACGGAGGCAACAAAAUCUUAGCAAAGGCAACAGCAGUUGACCUUAUAUAAAAUAACUGCUAGCAAAUAAGUCAAAUGCUGGUCUGGGAGAGCAGUUACAAAGGGACAUUCAUGUUUUAUAAUGCCCAAGGAUUUAUAUUAUUCUCAACUUAAGCUGUGCUAGUGACUCAAAAUUACUGGACAGAAGAAGUACACAACCUCAGGGGUGUAACGUAGCAGUUCUGAGAGCAAGGCUACAUAGAGGGAUUUCCAGAUGACGCCAUGUAAAGUGCCACAACUACUGCAGGCACUACAAUUUACAGAGACACUUAAUAGAGCAAAUUAGCCAAGCUAAGCUAAGCAGAGUGCAACACAAAGGAUGUGCUACUGCUACAACUCCAUGUAACUUAUUCAGUUUGCGCCAGGUGUCUCUAUAUAGCACUUAUCCCACAAGGAAAAAAAAAAUCACAGAAAAAUUUGCAGUCUAUCAUAAUGGUAUAAUAUAAAGGAAAAUAAUAAUUAUAGAAAAUGGUAAGGAUGCCUCCAGUGCAGAAAUUCUGGACUGAACUUAGAGUUGCUGAACUGUAUGACCUGCGUGAGCUAACCCUCCACCUCAGAGCAUGAGCACUUAUUCAAGAAAUGACAUUCAAAUGUUUUAUGACCUUGAGCAGCAGCUUAACAUCUGUAGGAGGAACAGUUGUGCAUUGUAGCUGCCUUCCCAAGCGAUCAGAUGCACUCUUCCAUUGUUAGUAACUUUCAAAUAACAGCAAUUUGAAAAGCAGAAGAGAAUGCCAAAAUAACAGAGAUCUGAAUCCAGUCGGAACAAGAUGCUCCCAGUAAUAUUUCUAACACUAUGAAAUUUCCUCCCCUUGUCAGAAUCCAGGGAAAUAUUUUGCACGGUAUGAAGAGAAUAACAAUAAUGCCUCAGCCUGAAAUUAAUGGUCACCGGGUUCCAACUAAAAGAGCUGAUUUAUGUUUUUUGGGUGCACUUGGAUAGAACAGGUUAUGUUCGAGAAAUGGACUGCCGAGCUAUCAUAGCAUUGAUCUUAAAGCAGGGGCAUUAAGCAAGCAAAUACAGCAGAAGAAAUUAUUUCUGGGGUAGCUUUGUUGACAUCUGCAGCCCUACCCAAGCCAAGCAGUCAUCCCACC
rnacentral:lncRNA from 1 species